rnacentral:tRNA from 1 species
GCGGCGGUGGUCUAGUGGUAGGACCUGAGCCUUCCAAGCUCAUGGCCCGGGUUCAAAUCCCGGCCGCCGCAC